UGGGGAAUUUUCCGCAAUGGGCGCAAGCCUGACGGAGCAAUACCGCGUGCGGGAGGAAGGCCUUUGGGUCGUAAACCGCUUUUGUUAGGGAAGAAAAUUUGACGGUACCUAACGAAUCAGCCUCGGCUAACUCCGUGCCAGCAGCCGCGGUAAGACGGAGGAGGCAAGCGUUAUCCGGAAUUAUUGGGCGUAAAGCGUCCGCAGGUGGCAUCUCAAGUCUGCUGUCAAAGCCCAGGGCUCAACUCUGGAUCGGCAGUGGAAACUGAGGCGCUAGAGUACGGUAGGGGCAGAGGGAAUUCCCAGUGUAGCGGUGAAAUGCGUAGAUAUUGGGAAGAACACCAGUAGCGAAAGCGCUCUGCUGGGCCGUAACUGACACUCAUGGACGAAAGCUAGGGGAGCGAAAGGGAUUAGAUACCCCUGUAGUCC
rnacentral:rRNA from 1 species